rnacentral:lncRNA from 1 species
GGCUCACUUACUGUAAUCCCAGCACUUUGGGAAGCCAAGGUGGGCGGAUCAUUUGAGAUCAGGAGUUCGAGAGCAGCCUGGCCAACAUGGUGAAGCCCUGUCUCUACUGAAAAUACAAAAACUAGCAGGGUGUGGUGGGGCACACUUGUAAUCUCAGCUACUUGGAAGGCUGAGGCAGGAGAAUAACCCAGGAGUCAGAGGUUGCAGUGAGCUGAGAUCGUGCCACUGCAUUCCAGCCUGGGGAACAAAGUGAGAUUCCAUCUCAAAAAAAAAGAAAAGAAAAGAAAAGAAAAAGAUGUGGAGUCAGACCCCAUGGGACGUGAAUUCUGACUGCUUCAUUCCAGUUGAAUCAUCUUGUCAAGUUACUUUAUCGGCCUGUGGGCUUUUCCUUCCUCAUCUCUAAAACAGGGAGUAGUUGAGAGACUGAGGAAUAAAGAUAUGGAAAUCUCAGUGUAAAGCCUGGUUCUGGGGAUACUUUCAUCCUUGAGAUAGACCCUGCCUCCUGCCCUGCAGGCAGUGACCACAGCAGCACAUCCAGCCUUCCAUGAUGCAGGCAUGUCUGUCUUCUCUCAGAGUGUGAAGAGUGCAAAGACCUUAUAGAAUCUGUGCUGGAGGAGGAGCUGCAGUUUCAGGAGAGGGAGCUGACCGAAUUGCCAAGGCCAGCAGCAAGGCUCCGGAUACAUGAUCCCUUAAUUCAGGCUCAGGGUGAAGAACUGACCCACUUACGACAGAAGAUACAGGAAGGGAGAGGUGUCUGCUACCUUUUCACCCAGCAUGUGAAGAACACAGUCAAGUCUUUUGAGGGCCUUCUCAGGAACACUGGCAUUGCCUACUACCAGAGACAGAGAUUCUGUGAGCAAAUGGUACAAGGAAGCCAGCUAACAGAGAUCCUUGUCAGAAAACUUGCCACAGAAAAUCACAAUGGUAAGAAAAAUGAAGACAGGCAAAAGCCACUGGCUCCCAGGUAACUCUACAUGAUGAAGGGGCUGAUAAUGGACUGACCAAAUCUAGAGAGAAUUCCAGAAGCAAGGACUCAAGAGGUUAAAGGUCCC